GAUGAACGCUGGCGGCGUGCUUAACACAUGCAAGUCGAACGGUGAAGCAGGAGCUUGCUCUUGUGGAUCAGUGGCGAACGGGUGAGUAACACGUGAGCAACCUGCCCCUGACUCUGGGAUAAGCGCUGGAAACGGCGUCUAAUACUGGAUAUGUGAUGUGACCGCAUGGUCUGCAUCUGGAAAGAAUUUCGGUUGGGGAUGGGCUCGCGGCCUAUCAGCUUGUUGGUGAGGUAAUGGCUCACCAAGGCGGGGACGGGUAGCCGGCCUGAGAGGGGGACCGGGCACACGGGGACUGAGACACGGCCCAGACGCCUACGGGAGGCAGCAGUGGGGAAUAUUGCACAAUGGGCGGAAGCCUGAUGCAGCAACGCCGCGUGAGGGAUGACGGCCUUCGGGUUGUAAACCUCUUUUAGCAGGGAAGAAGCGAAAGUGACGGUACCUGCAGAAAAAGCACCGGCUAACUACGUGCCAGCCGCCGCGGUAA
rnacentral:rRNA from 1 species